rnacentral:lncRNA from 1 species
GAGGUUCCCAGGCCAGGCGUCAAAUCAGAGCCACAGCUGCCAGCCUACACCACAGUCACAGCAACACAGGAUCCCAACUGUAUCUGCAACCUAUACCACAGCUCAUGGCAAUGCCGGAUCCUUAACCCACUGGGCGAGGCCAGGGAUCAAACCUGAAACUUCAUGGUUCCUACUCAGAUUUGUUUCUGUUGCACCACAACGGGAACUCCUGGUUGGUUGUCUUCUUAUUGUUGAUUUUUGAAAGUUCUUUGCAUAUUUUGGGAUAUCAGUCUUUAUUUGUCCUUUGCAAAUAUUUUCUUUCAGUCUGUGGCUUGUCUUCUCAGUCUCUUGACGGUGUACCUCACAGUGACGAUUUUAAUUUUAAUGAAGUCCAGCUUAUCAGUUAUUUCUUGCAUGGGUCAUGAUUAUGGUGUUGUAUCUAAAAAGUCAUUGCUGGAGUUCCUGCUGUGGCAAUGUGGGUUAAGGGUAUGGUGUUGCUGCAGCUGUGGCGUAGGAUUCAAUCACUGGCCCAGGAACUUCCAAAUGCCACAGGUACAGACAAAAGAAAAAAAAAAAAAGAUCAUGGAGUUCCCAUCAUGGCUCAGUGGUUAAUGAAAGCGACUAGGAACCAUGAGGUUGGGGGUUCAAUCCCUGGCCUCGUUCAGUGGGUUAAGGAUCUGGCAUUGCCAUGAGCAGUGGUCUAGGUCAACAGAUGCAGCUCAGAUCUGGCAUUGCUGUGGCUCUGGUGUAGGCCGGCAGCUACAGCUCCAAUUAGAACCCUAAGACUGGGAACCUCCAUAUGCUGUGGGGGCAGCCCUAUAAAGACAAAAAAGACAAAAAAAAAAAAAAAAGAAAAGAAAAGAAAACAAUGAUGCUUAUAUAAUGGUGAAAAACGUUUGGCAGAAAAUAAGUAUGGUUUUGCAUAUUACUAUUACUGCCAAUUAAUUCUCCAUAAUUUAGGGGAGGUGGGAUAAACUCAUUUUGGAAAAUAUCUCCAAUUUCUAUUAGUGUACGUUAAUUCUACUUCCAUUUUAAUAAAUUGGCAAACUGAAAAUAUCACUCCCAGCUAUCUGUUAGUAAUUCUUAAUUACAAAUUCUGUGCUGCUUAAAAUUUUCCAAAACCUCAGGUCCUAGAUAAAUGUAAGGAUUACCCAAGUGAUUUGAAAUUCAUCAUUCUCGGUAUGUAAGUAGUUCACCUUGUAUCUUGGGGUUAUGCCAGAUCACAACUCCUCUGUUCAGGAAGCAUUAUUAAGCUUUCCUGUUCACUGGAUUUAUUAAAUUGUGCUUUGUUGUUAUACUAAAAAAAUACAUUGAAUUAUACAAUGGUUUGCCAUGGAUGUGGCCCCUAAAAAGAAAAAAAAAAAUACAAUGGCAAACAGCCAUUUUAUUUUGGUUUAUGUAUUUACAGUAAGAAUGUCAUGGUCAUAUUUCUUAAUUACAUAGCUAUUCAAUUGAAAUAAGGAAAUAUUUUAGGUCCUAGUAAAAGUAAGUUUUGCUCCUCCUGAGUAAAUUUAAUUAUUUAUUUAUUUUAUUUUUUGUUUUUACACUCUGGAUCUUGUAAAUCAAUGUGUUUAUUUCUUUUCUAGGGCAGCUAUGGAAUACAAAGCCUGAUCUUGACCUAAAGGUAACAAGUUACAGGAUUUCCUGACGUGUACCUUGAGAGCUAAAUAUUAUUACUAUCUUCAUCUGAGUCUGAUAUUCCCAUCUAUAUUUCCUUUUUGUCUUUCAAACCUCACCUACAAAUUCAUUUAUGUCCUGUUAUUGUUUUCUAAAACUCACAAAAUAAUUUUUGAAGGGAAAAUCUUUAAAAAAAAAAAACCAUAACACCUAUUGCAUUCUACCACCUAUUUAAAAAUUAAAGCUAUCAAAAAACUGUCAUUCAAGUAAUUUCAAAUCUCAUCUGGAAGAGUUUUAAAUGAUAUUUACUGUUUGAACUUUACGUAGAAACAUGAAGAACUAUGUCAAUCACAGAAGUGAUUUAACAGAUCAUUGAUGUAACUCAGCAAAAGUGGCUUCCCAUAUUUUUGAUUUAUGAUCUCUUUGGACUGAGUUACAGUAUAAGGCAGUGAAUACUGAGUGACGAGACUACCUCAAAUUUGAUUAUUGAUCAUAGGUUCUAAUCAAACAUACUCUAAUGCGCCUCUAUUUAGUUACCUUAAUGCAGCACUGUCAAAUAGAAAUAUAGUGUGAGAUACAGAUAUAAUUUUAAUUUUCUAGUAUCCACAUUAAAAUAAGUAGAAGGAAGCAGGCAAAAUUAUGUUUAAUAAUAUAUUUUCUUUAAUACCAUA